UACGAAGGGGGCGAGCGUUGUUCGGAAUUACUGGGCGUAAAGGGCGCGUAGGCGGCGACUCAAGUUAGAUGUGAAAGCCCCCGGCUCAACUGGGGAGGGUCACGCGAUACUGAUCGACUCGAAGGCAGGAGAGGGAAGUGGAAUUCCCGGUGUAGUGGUGAAAUGCGUAGAUAUCGGGAGGAACACCAGUGGCGAAGGCGACUUCCUGGCCUGUUCUUGACGCUGAGGCGCGAAAGCUAGGGGAGCAAACGGG
rnacentral:rRNA from 1 species